rnacentral:rRNA from 1 species
UACGAAGGUCCCAAGCGUUAUCCGGAUUUAUUGGGUUUAAAGGGUGCGUAGGCGGUUUGUCGCGUCUGCUGUGAAAACCUAAGGCUCAACCUUGGGCUUGCAGUGGGUACGGGCAGACUAGAGUGCGGUAGGGGUGACUGGAAUUCCUGGUGUAGCGGUGGAAUGCGCAGAUAUCAGGAGGAACACCGAUGGCGAAGGCAGGUCACUGGGCCGCAACUGACGCUGAGGAGCGAAAGCAUGGGGAGCGAACAGG